GACGAACGCUGGCGGCGUGCUUAACACAUGCAAGUCGAACGGUGAAGCGCCUUCCUUUUUGGUGGGUGUGGAUGAGUGGCGAACGGGUGAGUAACACGUGAGUAACCUGCCCCCUUCUUCUGGAUAACCGCAUGAAAGUGUGGCUAAUACGGGAUAUUCUGGGUCUGUCGCAUGAUGGGUCUGGGAAAGAUAUUGUUUCGGUGGGGGAUGGGCUCGCGGCCUGUCAGCUUGUUGGUGGGGUGAUGGCCUACCAAGGCGGUGACGGGUAGCCGGCCUGGGAGGGUGGACGGUCACACUGGGACUGAGACACGGCCCAGACUCCUACGGGAGGCAGCAGUGGGGAAUAUUGCACAAUGGGCGCAAGCCUGAUGCAGCGACGCCGCGUGAGGGAUGGAGGCCUUCGGGUUGUGAACCUCUUUCGCCAGUGAAGCAGGCCUGCCUCGUUUGUGGGUGGGUUGACGGUAGCUGGAGAAGAAGCGCCGGCUAACUACGUG
rnacentral:rRNA from 1 species